rnacentral:rRNA from 1 species
UACAGAGGGGGCAAGCGUUAUUCGGAAUUAUUGGGCGUAAAGCGUGCGCAGGCGGUUUUGUAAGGCAGAUGUGAAAGCCCCGGGCUUAACCUGGGAAUGGCAUUUGGGACUGCAAGGCUUGAGUGCGGCAGAGGAGACUGGAAUUCCUGGUGUAGCAGUGAAAUGCGUAGAUAUCAGGAGGAACACCAGUGGCGAAGGCGGCUACCUGGCCUAAUACUGACACUGAAGCACGAAAGCGUGGGGAGCAAACAGG